AUCGCAAAGGAGCUCUUCAAUGACCUCCUCGACGGCACUUCAUCAUCCAAAGCGAACAAGAACGACGACGAGGAGCACUCCGCCAGCACCGCUGGACUCUUCAUCUUCAACCUCUCCGUCGGCACAUCCUCCCCGCAGAGCAUGCCCGGCAUCCUGGACAUCGCCAGCCAGCUCGUUUGGUGGCAGCUAGUGCGCGCCCUGCAGCAACGCCGGCGACUGCCUUCCGGCGCCCAUCUUCCUGCCCAACAGCUCGGCCACCUUCGCGCGCCUUCCCCUGCGGUGACCAGAAGUGCAAGCUGCUCAGCGAGACCUGCCC
rnacentral:misc_RNA from 1 species